rnacentral:rRNA from 1 species
CGGAGGGUGCAAGCGUUAUCCGGAUUCACUGGGUUUAAAGGGUGCGUAGGUGGGCUGGUAAGUCCGUAGUGAAAUCCCCAAGCUUAACUUGGGAACUGCCGUGGAUACUAUUAGUCUUGAAUACUGUGGAGGUAAGCGGAAUAUGUCAUGUAGCGGUGAAAUGCUUAGAUAUGACAUAGAACACCGAUAGCGAAGGCAGCUUGCUACACAGUCAUUGACACUGAGGCACGAAAGCGUGGGGAGCAAACAGGAUUAGAUACCCUGGUAGUCCACGCCCUAAACGAUGAUUACUCGACAUACGCGAUACACUGUGUGUGUCUGAGCGAAAGCAUUAAGUAAUCCACCUGGGAAGUACGACCGCAAGGUUG